AACGAACACUGGCGGCGUGCCUAACACAUGCAAGUCGAACGAGAAUGCAGGCUUCGGUCUGCUAGUAAAGUGGCGCACGGGUGAGUAACACGUGGAUAACGUACAUUGUAGUGGGGGAUAACCAGGUGAAAGCUUGGCUAAUACCGCAUGAGUCUGUCGGAACGCAGGUUUUGACAGGGAAAGUGAGCAAUCACGCUACG
rnacentral:rRNA from 1 species